rnacentral:rRNA from 1 species
GAGGGCCGUGUGGGAGAGAUACUACGUGUUACUCACCCGUCCGCCACUCGUUCCAUGUUGAAUCUCAGUGCAAGCACCGAUCAUCAACGAGAACUCGUUCGACUUGCAUGUAUUAGGCACGCCGCCAGCGUUCAUCCUGAGCCAGGAUCAAACUCU